GUGGGUGUAGCUCAGCUUGGUUAGAGCGUCAGGUUGUGGCCCUGAAGGCCGUCGGUUCGAAUCCGAUCAUCCACCCCA
rnacentral:tRNA from 1 species